rnacentral:rRNA from 1 species
UACGGAGGGUGCGAGCGUUAUCCGGAAUUACUGGGUUUAAAGGGUGCGUAGGCGGCUUUGUAAGUCAGGAGUGAAAGUUUGCGGCUCAACCGUAAAAUUGCUUCUGAUACUGCAUGGCUAGAAUUAGGAUGAGGUCAGCGGAAUGUGGCAUGUAGCGGUGAAAUGCAUAGAUAUGCCAUAGAACACCAAUUGCGAGGGCAGCUGACUAGACCUGGAUUGACGCUGAGGCACGAAAGCGUGGGGAGCGAACAGG